ensembl:lncRNA
UGGUUAUGACUUCUUCUGGGCAGAGUAUUUUCCCCCCUGAAUACGACAUGGAGGGCAGGUUCCACGGGAAACCUGCUACUGUGUGGUCACUGGGAGUGCUCCUGUUCGUAAUGGUGUGUGGACGCUAUCCCAAAAAUAAGGACCUGCUGAAGAUAGAUUGCUGCCAUCUGAUUCGGCGUCUCCUCCAGCAAGACCCAAGCCGGACUCUUCCACACCUUAGCAUCUUUUGGAGCUGGCAAGCCUUGGUGGCACCUAGACAGUCCUAAAAUGCCCUGUCACCUGUCAUCGUGGUCCCAGAAUUUCCUCUCAUGGCCGCCCAAGAGGUUCAUGUGAAAGCUGUUUCUGCCACAGCCAGCCUAGAGAUUCCUGUCUUGGCCUCUCCAUUCCUCAGCUCAGCAUCUGACAGACUGACAUCAGUGGCCUUAGCAUCUUGCAAAGCUGCCAAGCCUUGGUAGUCUGGUGCCUUGGCUUGAGGCAGUAUCAUAACAGCAUACUUUAACAAUGUAGUUACUGUACAGUUGGUUCAAUAGUUUAUAUAAACAUGGUUCAAUAGUUUAUAUAAUCGAUACAUAAAAAAACUAUUUUGCCAUGAUUACAAGUGAUUUUUAUAUAUCACAACAACAUAGUUUAGAAGCAUACAGUAUUUAUUUAUAUAACAUUAUGGCAUACAGUAGUUUACAGCAUAGUUUAACAAUGUACAAUUU